UACGUAGGGUGCGAGCGUUGUCCGGAAUUAUUGGGCGUAAAGAGCUCGUAGGCGGUUUUGUCGCGUCUGCUGUGAAAAACUCGGGGCUUAACUCCGGGCCUGCAGUGGGUACGGGGCAGACUAGAGUGCGGUAGGGGAGACUGGAAUUCCUGGUGUAGCGGUGAAAUGCGCAGAUAUCAGGAGGAACACCGGUGGCGAAGGCGGGGUCUCUGGGGCCGAUACUGACGCUGAGGAGCGAAAAGCGUGGGGGAGCGAACAGG
rnacentral:rRNA from 1 species